rnacentral:rRNA from 1 species
GUACACACCGCCCGUCGCUACUACCGAUUGAAUGGUUUAGUGAGAUUCACAGAUGGGACGUAGGCAGGUUCUCCUGUUUAUGUCAUCGGGAAGUGAAUCAAACUUGACCAUUUAGAGGAAGUAAAAGUCGUAACAAGGUUUCUGUAGGUGAACCUGCAGAAGGAUCA